rnacentral:rRNA from 1 species
ACGUAGGGGGCGAGCGUUGUUCGGAUUUACUGGGCGUAAAGAGCGCGUAGGUGGUUCGAUGAGUCGGAGGUGAAAUCCCUCGGCUUAACCGAGGACCCGCGUCCGAUACUGUCGAACUUGAGUGCAGGAGAGGAGAGCGGAAUUCCCAGUGUAGCGGUGAAAUGCGUAGAUAUUGGGAGGAACACCGGUGGCGAAGGCGGCUCUCUGGACUGUCACUGACACUGAGGCGCGAAAGCUAGGGGAGCAAACGGGAUUAGAUACCCCGGUAGUCCUAGCCGUAAACGAUGGGCACUAGGUGUGGGAGGUAUCGACCCCUUCCGUGCCGCAGCUAACGCAUUAAGUGCCCCGCCUGGGGAGUACGGCCGCAAGGUUG